rnacentral:rRNA from 1 species
AACGAACGCUGGCGGCAUGCCUAACACAUGCAAGUCGAACGAUGCCUUCGGGCAUAGUGGCGCACGGGUGCGUAACGCGUGGGAAUCUGCCUUUCGGUUCGGAAUAACUCAGGGAAACUUGAGCUAAUACCGGAUAACGUCGCAAGACCAAAGAUUUAUCACCGAAAGAUGAGCCCGCGUAGGAUUAGCUAGUUGGUGAGGUAAAGGCUCACCAAGGCGACGAUCCUUAGCUGGUCUGAGAGGAUGAUCAGCCACACUGGGACUGAGACACGGCCCAGACUCCUACGGGAGGCAGCAGUGGGGAAUAUUGGACAAUGGGCGAAAGCCUGAUCCAGCAAUGCCGCGUGAGUGAUGAAGGCCUUAGGGUUGUAAAGCUCUUUUACCCGGGAAGAUAAUGACGGUACCGGGAGAAUAAGCCCCGGCUAACUCCGCG